rnacentral:rRNA from 1 species
GACAGAGGGUGCAAACGUUGUUCGGAAUUACUGGGCGUAAAGCGAGUGUAGGCGGUUUCAUAAGUCGGGUGUGAAAGCCCCGGGCUCAACCCGGGAAGUGCACUCGAAACUGUGAGGCUAGAGUAUCGGAGAGGUUGGUGGAAUUCUCGGUGUAGAGGUGAAAUUCGUAGAUAUCGAGAGGAACACCGGUGGCGAAGGCGGCCAACUGGACGAAUACUGACGCUGAGACUCGAAAGCGUGGGGAGCAAACAGG